UGGGGAAUAUUGCACAAUGGGCGAAAGCCUGAUGCAGCAACGCCGCGUGAGUGAUGAAGGCCUUCGGGUUGUAAAGCUCUGUCUUUUGGGACGAUAAUGACGGUACCAAAGGAGGAAGCCACGGCUAACUACGUGCCAGCAGCCGCGGUAAUACGUAGGUGGCAAGCGUUGUCCGGAUUUACUGGGCGUAAAGGAUGCGUAGGCGGAUUUUUAAGUGAGAUGUGAAAUACCCGGCGUAAUCUUGGGUGCUGCAUUUCAAACUGGGAAUCUAGAGUGCGGGAGAGGAGAAUGGAAUUCCUAGUGUAGCGGUGAAAUGCGUAGAGAUUAGGAAGAACACCAGUGGCGAAGGCGAUUCUCUGGACCGUAACUGACGCUGAGGCAUGAAAGCGUGGGCAGCAAACAGGAUUAGAUACCUCGUAGU
rnacentral:rRNA from 1 species